rnacentral:tRNA from 1 species
AUGCCUGGAAACACCGUUUUUCCCGGCCUCCGAAGCCGAGGGUCACUGGUUCGAUUCCAGUCGGGCGCGCCA